rnacentral:tRNA from 2 species
GGUCGAGCGUGAUCAGGUCGAGGAUUAUGCUCUUCGCAAGGGCAUGGCGAUCCGCGAGGUCGAGCGCUGGCUCGGCCCGGUGCUCAACUA